GACGGGGCCGCACAAGCGGUGGAGCAUGUUGGUUUAAUUCGACGCAACGCGAAGAACCUUACCAGGGCUUGACAUCCCCUGACCGCGUAUGAAAGUACGUUUUCACCCUCGGGUGACAGGGAGACAGGUUGGUGCAUGGUUGUCGUCAGCUCGUGUCGUGAGAUGUUGGGUUAAGUCCCGCAACGAGCGCAACCCUCGCCUCUAGUUGCCAGCAUUCAGUUGGGCACUCUAGAGGGACUGCCGGCGACAAGUCGGAGGAAGGUGGGAUGACGUCAAAUCAUCAUGCCCCUUAUGACCUGGGCUACACACGUGCUACAAUGGGCGGUACAAAGGGCUGCGAACCCGCGAGGGGGAGCGAAUCCCAAAAAGCCGCUCUCAGUUCGGAUUGCAGGCUGCAACUCGCCUGCAUGAAGCCGGAAUCGCUAGUAAUCGCGGAUCAGCAUGCCGCGGUGAAUACGUUCCCGGGCCUU
rnacentral:rRNA from 1 species